rnacentral:tRNA from 1 species
GGGGAUUUAGCUCAGUGGUAGAGUGCUUGCCUAGCAAGCAUAAGGCCCUGUCUCGAUCCCCA